rnacentral:tRNA from 1 species
GCUGGAAAGGUGGUAUGAAUUGCCCUCCGGAGGCAGAGGCCUCAGGUUCGAAUCCUGUAUCGCGCGCCA